UACUAGAAUAUUAAAAGUUAUGGCCUUUAAAUUUAAAAAAUUUGGCGGUGUUUUAGUCUAGUUAGAGGAACCUGUUUUAUAAACGAUACAACACGCAUUAUUUUACUUAUUUUAGUGGGGCAGCUUGUAUACCGUCAUUAUAAGAUAAUUUAAGAGAAAAUAUUAUUGAAAUCAUAUUUGUGAGUAUAUUAGAUCAAGGUGCAGCUUAUGGAUAAGUAAAUAUGGGUUACAAUAAAAUUAAUUUAAUAUGAAUUAAGUAUUUAAAUAUAUUUAUGAAGGAGGAUUUAAUUGUAAGGGAAGGAGUAGUGAGAUUUUCUGAUAAAAGCUCUAAAUUAUGUACAUAUCGCCCGUCGCUC
rnacentral:rRNA from 2 species